rnacentral:rRNA from 1 species
GACGAACGCUGGCGGCGUGCCUAAUACAUGCAAGUCGAACGCUUCUUUCCUCCCGAGUGCUUGCACUCAAUUGGGAAGAGGAGUGGCGGAAGGGUGAGUAACCCGUGGGUAACCUACCCAUCAGAGGGGGGUAACACUUGGAAACAGGUGCUAAUACCGCAUAACAGUUUAUGCCGCAUGGCAUAAGAGUGAAAGGCGCUUUCGGAGGUGGCUGCUGGAUGGACCCGCGGUGCAUUAGCUAGUUGGUGAGGUAACGGCUCACCAAGGCCACGAUGCAUAGCCGACCUGAGAGGGUGAUCGGCCACACUGGGACUGAGACACGGCCCAGACUCCUACGGGAGGCAGCAGUAGGGAAUCUUCGGCAAUGGACGAAAGUCUGACCGAGCAACGCCGCGUGAGUGAAGAAGGUUUUCGGAUCGUAAAACUCUGUUGUUAGGGAAGAACAAGGACGUUAGUAACUGAACGCCUCCUGACGGUAUCUAAUCAGAAAGCCACGGCUAACUACGUG